UUGAAUAUUGUGCAAAAAUGUGACCCCACAGAUUUAAAACUAGGAAGAAUGGAAUAAGAACUAGCAAUUUAAUCUGUAGUGAAGGUCUGGGCAGCAUACAAUGAUUCGACAGUACGGAUAAUGUACCAUUGUUCUUCGAGCUUCACGCAUCACUUUUGUUUUCUACUUCAUGUUUUCCAUCCCUCUCUCCCGCCAGCUGUGCGU
rnacentral:lncRNA from 1 species